rnacentral:rRNA from 1 species
UACGGGGGGGGCAAGCGUUGUUCGGAAUUACUGGGCGUAAAGGGCUCGUAGGUGGCCAACUAAGUCAGACGUGAAAUCCCUCGGCUUAACCGGGGAACUGCGUCUGAUACUGGAUGGCUUGAGUUCGGGAGAGGGAUGCGGAAUUCCUAGUGUAGAGGUGAAAUUCGUAGAUAUUAGGAAGAACACCAGUGGCGAAGGCGGCCAACUGGCCCGAUACUGACGCUCAUGUGCGAAAGCGUGGGGAGCAAACAGG